GGAGGUAGGGCAAUAAAUCACAAUGCGGGACUUGUAUUCUUGCAAUUGGAUUGAGAACAAGGUAAAAUUUUUAUGGAUAAGCCAUUGGAGGGCAAGUCUGGUGCCAGCAGCCGCGGUAAUUCCAGCUCCAAUAGCGUAUAUUAACGUUGUUGCAGUUAAAAAGCUCGUAGUUGAAGUGAGGGAGUGUGUGAGUAUGAGAGAGCUAGUCUCAAGUGCUCACAACCUCCCCCUUCCAAUGGGUGUAGUGGGGUAUUCAUUUACUUCAUUACUCCUUUGGUCGUUUACUGUGAGAAAAUUAGAGUGUUCAAAGCGGGCGUUUGUUUGAAUAGAUUAGCAUGGAAUAAUGAUUGAAGGCUUUCAUGUUCCAUUUGAUUGGUUUGUUCAUGGAAGCAAGGUUAAAAGGAACAGUUGGGGGUAUUCAUAUUCACUAAUUAGAGGUGAAAUUCUCGGAUUUAUGGAAGAUGAACAAUGGCGAAAGCAA
rnacentral:rRNA from 1 species